CUCUUCGGGGAUGAUUAAACCGGCGCACGGGUGAGUAACACGUGAGUGACCUGCCUUUUAGACUGGAACAACUUACCGAAAGGUGAGCUAAUGCCGGAUGAGUUAUAUAAGUGCAUGUUUAUAUAGGAAAAGUUGGGGAGACCUGACGCUGAAAGAUGGACUCGCGUCCCAUUAGCUAGUUGGUAGGGUAAUGGCCUACCAAGGCGACGAUGGGUAGCCGGCCUGAGAGGGUGGCCGGCCACACUGGGACUGAGACACGGCCCAGACUCCUACGGGAGGCAGCAGUGGGGAAUUUUGCGCAAUGCUCGUAAGAGUGACGCAGCGACGCCGCGUGAAUGACGAAGGCCUUCGGGUCGUAAAGUUCUUUCGACAGGGAAGAAAAUGCCUAUAAGUAACUGUGUAUGUAUUGACGGUACCUGUAUAAGCAGCCCCGGCUAACUCCGUGCCAGCAGCCGCGGUAAUACGGAGGGGGCGAGCGUUGUUCGGAGUGACUGGGCGUA
rnacentral:rRNA from 1 species